UAAUCAUUAGUCUUUUAAUUGGAGGCUUGUAUGAAUGGUUGGACAAAAAAUAAGCUGUCUCUGUUUUAUUUCUUGAAUUUAACUUUUAAGUGAAAAGGCUUAAAUGUUCUAGGGGGACGAUAAGACCCUAUAAAGCUUUACAGUGUGCUAAUUAAAUUAUAAAUUGUUAGUAUAAACUUGGUUUGGUUAGUAGCUGUUUCGUUGGGGCGACGAAAAUAUAAUUGAUAGUAACUGUUUUUCUUUUAUAAUAACAAUAAAUUUUUGGUAGAAAUUGAUCCUUUAUUAAAGAUUAAAAGAUUAAGUUACUUUAGGGAUAACAGCGUAAUCUUCUUUGAGAGUUCAUAUCGACAAGAAGGGUU
rnacentral:rRNA from 1 species